rnacentral:tRNA from 1 species
GAGGCUUUAGCUUAAUUAAAGUGUCUGUUUUGCAUGCAGGCGAUGUGGGGUAAUAGCCCGCAAGUCUUA